CCUACGGGUGGCAGCAGUGAGGAAUAUUGGUCAAUGGACGAGAGUCUGAACCAGCCAAGUAGCGUGAAGGAUGACUGCCCUAUGGGUUGUAAACUUCUUUUAUAUGGGAAUAAAACGUUCCACGUGUGGGAUUUUGUAUGUACCAUAUGAAUAAGGAUCGGCUAACUCCGUGCCAGCAGCCGCGGUAAUACGGAGGAUCCGAGCGUUAUCCGGAUUUAUUGGGUUUAAAGGGAGCGUAGGUGGAUUGUUAAGUCAGUUGUGAAAGUUUGCGGCUCAACCGUAAAAUUGCAGUUGAAACUGGCAGUCUUGAGUACAGUAGAGGUGGGCGGAAUUCGUGGUGUAGCGGUGAAAUGCUUAGAUAUCACGAAGAACACCGAUUGCGAAGGCAGUUCACUGGACUGCAACUGACACUGAGGCUCGAAAGUGUGGGUAUCAAACAGGAUUAGAUACCCCUGUAGUC
rnacentral:rRNA from 1 species